rnacentral:rRNA from 1 species
GACGAACCGUGCGAACGUUGUUCGGAAUCACUGGGCUUAAAGGGCGCGUAGGCGGCUUUUCAAGUGACGGGUGAAAUCCCUCGGCUUAACCGAGGAACUGCCUGUCAGACUGGAAGGCUUGAGACCGGGAGAGGUGAGUGGAAUUCCCAGUGUAGCGGUGAAAUGCGUAGAUAUUGGGAGGAACACCAGUGGCGAAGGCGGCUCACUGGACCGGAACUGACGCUGAGGCGCGAAAGCGUGGGGAGCAAACAGG